rnacentral:rRNA from 1 species
GUGAUUAGAGUGGACAUCCAUUCAAAAUUAAAGUCGGGGCAACCUGACGCUUCUUGUGGGGCCCGCGGCCUAUCAGCUAGUUGGUGAGGUAACGGCCCACCAAGGCUUUGACGGGUAGCUGGUCUGAGAGGACGACCAGCCACACUGGGACUGAGACACGGCCCAGACACCUACGGGUGGCAGCAGUCGAGAAUUUUUGACAAUGGGGGAAACCCUGAUCGAGCGACGCCGCGUGGAGGAUGAAGGUCUUCGGAUUGUAAACUCCUGUCAUUGGGGAACAAGGCGCAGAUAUUAACUGUAUUUGUGUUGAUAGUACCCGAAGAGGAAGAGACGGCUAACUCUGUGCCAGCAGCCGCGGUAAUACAGAGGUCUCAAGCGUUGUUCGGAUUCAUUGGGCGAAAAGGGUGCGUAGGCGGCGCGGUAAGUCGGGUGUGAAAUCUCGGAGCUUAACUCCGAAACUGCAUUCGAUACUGCCGUGCUUGAGGACUGGAGAGGAGACUGGAAUUUACGGUGUAGCGGUGAAAUGCGUAGAUAUCGUAAGGAAGACCAGUGGCGAAGGCGGGUCUCUGGACAGUACCUGACGCUGAGGCACGAAGGUCAGGGGAGCAAACGGGAUUAGAUACCCCGGUAGUCCUGACAGUAAACGGUGCACGUUUGGUGUGGGAGGAUUCGACCCCUUCUGCGCCGGAGCUAACGCGUUAAACGUGCCGCCUGGGGAGUACGGUCGCAA